UUUAAAAAUAAGCUACGCGGAUUAGAAUGUUUUAUGGUGUUAUCUCUGGUGACAUCUAUUAGUCAUUUGUAUUUAACCUUCAAUCCACUCUUGUCUAACUUGUUUAAAAGCCUUUAAAGUCUUGGAACGUGUUCUAUUUCUUUGUAUCCCCUACAUAGCACGGGACUUUGCACAGAGAAGAUUCUCCGAAGAUAUUCAUUGAGGUGAUUUCAUUUCAUAAGAUAUUCUGUUUAAAUAGCAAAGGGAAGGACGAUUCAAUAUAUACUGUGGAUUUUGAUGAUGUGUUUGUUUCUUUUUUAUGCUAAGGAGCUCUUUGUUUUGCCUUUUCCCUUCUGUGCUCACGUUUUGAAAUGCCACUCGGGGGCAGCAUUGAGUCAGCUUGCACGUGAACUAGAAGAAAAUACAAACCUCCCAAGAUCAAGUCUUGGCACCACGCCUUACGAGGAGGCUGUGUCGAUCACAGAACAGAUCCUGACAAACAGUCCGUGAAAAACAGACAGCAGCUGGCUGACUGUGAAGGGAGCUCUGUCCCCCUGCCAAUUGAUACACGAGCCCCGGCAGCAGGUAUUCAGUAAGCGCCUACUUAAAGCGUCGAAUCUGGAACAUCUAAAACGUGGUGCUUGCCCAGACGCCUGGCCUGGGACUGUGCACCACGCACCGCAAGGCUGGUGGAGCUGCCCGUCACUCCAGUCUCUGGAGGUGGCCUCAGGUGACGCUUGUCCCCCGACGCCAUCCCCACCACUGGUCCUCAGCUCGUUACAAGGAAGCGAUUGUUAAUGAGCAUUCAUCUCCGAUCUGUGGAUUCGAUUCCAAAGUCUUGUAAACUUCAACCAUGUGAAUUCAUGUGUGGUUUCACAUAUGACAAGAAUGCCUCUUUUAAGGGCGCCUGGGUGGCUGAGAUGGGUUAAUCAUCUGAUUUUGGCUCAGGUCAUGAUCCCAGGGUCCUGAGAUCCAGGAGGGUCACUCCCUCUGCUCAGCGGGGAGUCUGCUUCUACCUCUCCCCCUGCCUCUCUGUCCAGUUGUGCUCUCUCUCGCUCUUGCUCUCAAAAGAAAUAAAUAAAAUCUUUAGAUAAAUAAAUAAAUAAAU
rnacentral:lncRNA from 12 species